UAGGGAAUCUUCGGCAAUGGACGAAAGUCUGACCGAGCAACGCCGCGUGAGUGAAGAAGGUUUUCGGAUCGUAAAACUCUGUUGGUAGAGAAGAACGUUGGUGAGAGUGGAAAGCUCAUCAAGUGACGGUAACUACCCAGAAAGGGACGGCUAACUACGUGCCAGCAGCCGCGGUAAUACGUAGGUCCCGAGCGUUGUCCGGAUUUAUUGGGCGUAAAGCGAGCGCAGGUGGUUUAUUAAGUCUGGUGUAAAAGGCAGUGGCUCAACCAUUGUAUGCAUUGGAAACUGGUAGACUUGAGUGCAGGAGAGGAGAGUGGAAUUCCAUGUGUAGCGGUGAAAUGCGUAGAUAUAUGGAGGAACACCGGUGGCGAAAAGCGGCUCUCUGGCCUGUAACUGACACUGAGGCUCGAAAGCGUGGGGAGCAAAACAGGAUUA
rnacentral:rRNA from 1 species